rnacentral:rRNA from 1 species
AGCGAACGCUGGCGGCAGGCUUAACACAUGCAAGUCGAGCGCCGUAGCAAUACGGAGCGGCAGACGGGUGAGUAACACGUGGGAACGUACCUUUUGGUUCGGAACAACACAGGGAAACUUGUGCUAAUACCGGAUAAGCCCUUACGGGGAAAGAUUUAUCGCCGAAAGAUCGGCCCGCGUCUGAUUAGCUAGUUGGUGAGGUAACGGCUCACCAAGGCGGCGAUCAGUAGCUGGUCUGGGAGGAUGAUCAGCCACACUGGGACUGAGACACGGCCCAGACUCCUACGGGAGGCAGCAGUGGGGAAUAUUGGACAAUGGGCGCAAGCCUGAUCCAGCCAUGCCGCGUGAGUGAUGAAGGCCCUAGGGUUGUAAAGCUCUUUUGUGCGGGAAGAUAAUGACUGUACCGCAAGAAUAAGCCCCUGCUAACUUCGUGCCAGCCGCCGCCGUAACAC